rnacentral:rRNA from 1 species
CCUACGGGCGGCAGCAGUGGGGAAUAUUGGACAAUGGGGGGAACCCUGAUCCAGCCAUGCCGCGUGUGUGAAGAAGGCCCUCGGGUUGUAAAGCACUUUCAGUGAGGAAGAACGCCUGGUGGUUAAUACCCAUCAGGAAAGACAUCACUCACAGAAGAAGCACCGGCUAACUCCGUGCCAGCAGCCGCGGUAAUACGGAGGGUGCGAGCGUUAAUCGGAAUUACUGGGCGUAAAGCGCGCGUAGGUGGCUUGAUAAGCCGGUUGUGAAAGCCCCGGGCUCAACCUGGGAACGGCAUCCGGAACUGUCAAGCUAGAGUGCAGGAGAGGAAGGUAGAAUUCCCGGUGUAGCGGUGAAAGGCGUAGAGAUCGGGAGGAAUACCAGUGGCGAAGGCGGCCUUCUGGACUGACACUGACACUGAGGUGCGAAAGCGUGGGUAGCAAACAGGAUUAGAUACCCGUGUAGUC